AUUGAACGCUGGCGGCAGGCCUAACACAUGCAAGUCGAGCGGGGUUUUCGGACCUAGCGGCGGACGGGUGAGUAAUGCGUAGGAAGCUACCCGAUAGAGGGGGAUACCAGUUGGAAACGACUGUUAAUACCGCAUAAUGUCUACGGACCAAAGUGUGGGACCUUCGGGCCACAUGCUAUCGGAUGCGCCUACGUGGGAUUAGCUAGUUGGUGGGGUAAUGGCUCACCAAGGCGACGAUCCCUAGCUGGUUUGAGAGGAUGAUCAGCCACACUGGAACUGAGACACGGUCCAGACUCCUACGGGAGGCAGCAGUGGGGAAUAUUGGACAAUGGGCGCAAGCCUGAUCCAGCCAUGCCGGGUGUGGGAAGAAGGCCUUCGGGUUGUAAAGCACUUUCAGUAGGGAGGAAGGAUGUUGUGUUAAUAGCACAGCAUUUUGACGUUACCUACAGAAGAAGCACCGGCUAACUCUGUGCCAGCCGCCGCCGUAACAC
rnacentral:rRNA from 1 species